CCAUAACACCUCCAUCUGUCUGCUGCAUAUAUGGUACUCCACAGCCGAACGUGACCGACGGAGCACGGAAAUCAUUAACGAAAAACGUUCGAUACUGGAGCGAGGGAAGACUGAUCCUAAAUCGCUGAUGAUUGCAGAAUGAUGAGAACCUACAAGAGAGAGCCAGGUUCAAGAAAGUACACUGAUUAUAAUGCUGAGACCUUUGGAAGGUUGUUUGAAGGACAUACGAAGUGGAGUAAUAACAGAGUGCAAGUCAGUAUUACAAUUCGACGCCACACUGGGGUGACCUGUCUGCUGGUGAUGAGGAUGAUAUGAUGAUGAAGACAACACAACACCCAGUCCCCGAGUGGAGGAAAUCUUCAACCUGGCUGGGAAUCGAACCCAGGCCUGCUUGCAUGAGAGGCGGGCACGUUACCACCCAGCUACGCAGGAGGACUCACUAAUACUAAUAUCCUUGCCAUUCAGCCUUGCAGUGAUGUGGUGA